AAUUAUUCCAAGUCCAUGAGUAAAAGUAGCAUGGGCCCAAGGGUUUGAGCAGCAGGAAUGCUUAAUUAAAAAAGAAAUGUGUGAAAUUAAGUACUUCAGUGAGUGAAAUUAGGUCCCCUGCUUCCAGGGUGCUGAGGGUAGUUCAGCAUUUUAUAUCCAACCUGAGCCCCCUGGACUUUUGCCUCUAGCAUGUCAAUCAGACGAGUAUAUAGAGCCCAGGGGCUUAGAGAGUAAGGAUGUUGGGCAGUGGAGCCUCCUUCAGGCAAACUCCGCUUCACUGAGGGAUGCUUGGAGCGCAGAGAGCAUGGUCACUGAUAAUUAAUGAGGAUGACUAGCAGAGGAACAGGUUGGGAAAUGCUGGGAGGCCUUGAGGGAAAUGAGUAGCUUUAUUUAGGCAGGUUCUAAGUAACGGCAUGCAGGCUGCUGAGAUGGGGCUUGACAGUUCCAAAGGUGGUUCACUCCCAUUCCUGCCUCAGAUGCUAUUCAGAAGGGAUCCCCCUUCAAAGUCCUGUUGGACUUAACUGUGUGCAUUCCUUAAAUGGUCAUAGCCCCUUCCUCUACAUAGGGCUUCUCUACACUGUCCCAAUGCCCCCUAACCACAUCUUGGGAGGCUUGUCUGUUGUUUUGGGUCAACUUCUGAUCACUGGGUCAGGAUAUAGGUGUUCUGUUAACUCACAGGUGGGAGAAUAUCCCUAGAAACCCUCAAUCCUCAGGCCCUAACAUCCAAACACCAUCUCAGUGGCAGGUCCUUUGCAACAAAUCUGGGCCUCACACACAUUCAGGGUUCAUUUGUUUUCCAGGCAAGGAGAGGAUAUUAAUAGAUGCAAACAUUUUCUAAGAAAGCUCAUCCCCAUCUCUAAUUUUAGUAGCUGACCAUCGUUGAGGACCUGCUAGGUGCUAGGCCCUGUGCUAAACACUUCUCCAACACUAAAGCUUCCUUCCAGCUUGAUAGGUACCGACUGUCAUUAUCUCCACUUUACAGAUGAACAGGCUCGUGUAUGAAGAUGGCAAGUAAAUUAUCCAAAGUCACACAGGCGGUUCAGGACCUUCUUUCCACUGCGCUGUCGCUCACCAUGGCGUCUACUAGGCACAGACUUACUCUCACUGGUCAGGAACUCAUUUACCACUUAACGGACAGUGUUGAGCUCUGACUUUGUGCCAGGCACCAUUCUGGGGAUACCACAACCAAGAAGAUGCUAUCCCUUCCCCAGCAAGCUCGGUCUAGUGCUAGAGACAGAUGUGUCCACAAACAGUAGUGCUAUAGGGUGACAGAUGCUGUAAUAAAAACGUCCAGGGGACUGUUUGUGGAUACACAGUGAUAAGAGCAGUCAGUAUUACAAUCAUGAGACCCAGCAGAGUGCCUGGCAUAACAUAUAUCUGUUGACUGAAUGAAGGAGGAGACACCUGGCGUGAGGAACCAGGAGGUAGCAGAGGCUGAAAGGUGUUCCACAUAGUGGCUGUGGAUGUGAGGGAGAACAGGCUGUUGUAGGGGACUGCAAGAGGCUUAGUAUGGUUUCGGGUUGGUGGGGGUUCGGGUUGGGGCUGGAGGUCGGCAGCAGGGAGGCUUAGUGAAGGCCCAGUAGAUCCUGAAAGGCCCUCCUUCAGGCCAUGUGUCACCCUAAGCUAGUUAGCUCCUAGAGGUGAUAAGUGGAGGAGCAGCGUGGUCUGACUUGCGGGGAGAAAUUUUGGCAGGUCAGCUGCAGUAGUCUACUUGGAAAUCUUACCUAGAUAAGUGAGGAAACCAUCAAAAGAAUGAUUUAGGUGAGGAACACAGCCCAUUUGAUUUUGCAGUUUUAUUCUUGGUCAAACCUAGAUGUGUGAUUCUGGAGCUAAGACUUAGCACUGCCCUCGAAGAGUCUGUAAUCCUUGGUGGGUGACGUGAACGAGCAGCUUGAUCCUCACAUGUUACACAUGUGAAAGCUGAAAUUCAGAGAGGCAGAGCCACCAAGGCAGAAGGGACACAGUCAGGACUGGGCUUCUUGAUAAUCAGUCCCAAUCUCUUUCCUUCUCUCCCUCUCUUUAAGUGUAUUUUCCUACUGUGCUAGGCCUUUACAUCUCACUCCAUCAAUUGAGCUUUCAACUGGGGCAUCUGUUUAAGAAAACACUGCCAGGUUCUCUGUAAGAGUUGGGUUGAGAGAGUCUUCAUGACAUAAUUCUCUUCCUAGAUGGAGAAAUGACAUGCGUGGUGAAGAGGCUUCCUGCCCUCCAAGCUCCAUGGCUUUGUGUGAACCACUAAUGUUGUCACAGUCCUCUGUUCUGUUUUAGGAAAAGAAUCCUGAUUUCUAUUACCAGUCAUGAUGGAGCAGUAAACUGGAAAAAAAAAAAGAAACUAUUUUCAGACGUUGGAAAUAGCAGAGCACUGUGAUCCUUAAGAGAAACAAGCAAGAGAACCCUGAGUUUCCUCAACAGCUUUUAGGAAUGCAUCUCACCUUGAACGUGGGAUUUUGUUGAAUUUGAGAAAAAUGAAAACUGGAGGAAA